AGUGAACGCUGGCGGUAGGCCUAACACAUGCAAGUCGAACGGCGGCACAGUAAGAGCUUGCUCUUACGGGUGGCGAGUGGCGGACGGGUGAGGAAUACAUCGGAAUCUACUUUUUCGUGGGGGAUAACGUAGGGAAACUUACGCUAAUACCGCAUACGACCUACGGGUGAAAGCAGGGGAUCUUCGGACCUUGCGCGAUUGAAUGAGCCGAUGUCGGAUUAGCUAGUUGGCGGGGUAAAGGCCCACCAAGGCGACGAUCCGUAGCUGGUCUGAGAGGAUGAUCAGCCACACUGGAACUGAGACACGGUCCAGACUCCUACGGGAGGCAGCAGUGGGGAAUAUUGGACAAUGGGCGCAAGCCUGAUCCAGCCAUACCGCGUGGGUGAAGAAGGCCUUCGGGUUGUAAAGCCCUUUUGUUGGAAAAGAAAAGCAGCAGGUUAAUACCCCGCUGUUCUGACGGUACCCAAAGAAUAAGCACCGGCUAACUUCGUG
rnacentral:rRNA from 1 species